rnacentral:rRNA from 1 species
UACAGAGGUGGCAAGCGUUGUUCGGAAUUACUGGGCGUAAAGGGCCAGUAGGCGGCCAACUAAGUCGGAUGUGAAAUCCCCAGGCUUAACCUGGGAACUGCAUCCGAUACUGGAUGGCUUGAAUUCGGGAGAGGGAUGCAGAAUUCCAGGUGUAGCGGUGAAAUGCGUAGAUAUCUGGAGGAAUACCGGUGGCGAAGGCGGCAUCCUGGACCGACAUUGACGCUGAACGGCGAAAGCUAGGGGAGCAAACGGG